UACGGAGGAUCCAAGCGUUAUCCGGAAUUACUGGGCGUAAAGAGUUGCGUAGGUGGCAUAGUAAGCAAAUAGUGAAAGCGUGGGGCUCAACCCCAUAUCCAUUAUUUGAACUGCUAAGCUAGAGGAUGAGAGAGGUCGUUGGAAUUCCCAGUGUAGGAGUGAAAUCCGUAGAUAUUGGGAGGAACACCGAUGGCGUAGGCAGACGACUGGCUCAUUCCUGACACUAAGGCACGAAAGCGUGGGGAGCAAACGGG
rnacentral:misc_RNA from 1 species